CCUACGGGAGGCAGCAGUGGGGGAUAUUGCACAAUGGGGGAAACCCUGAUGCAGCGACGCCGCGUGAGUGAAGAAGUAUUUCGGUAUGUAAAGCUCUAUCAGCAGGGAAGAAAAUGACAGUACCUGACCAAGAAGCCCCGGCUAACUACGUGCCAGCAGCCGCGGUAAUACGUAGGGGGCAAGCGUUAUCCGGAUUUACUGGGUGUAAAGGGAGCGUAGACGGUUAUGUAAGUCUGGAGUGAAAGCCCGGGGCCCAACCCCGGGACUGCUUUGGAAACUGGGUAACUGGAGUGCAGGAGGGGCAGGCGGAAUUCCUGGUGUAGCGGUGAAAUGCGUAGAUAUCAGGAGGAACACCGGCGGCGAAGGCGGCCUGCUGGACUGAAACUGACGUUGAGGCUCGAAAGCGUGGGGAGCAAACAGGAUUAGAUACCCUUGUAGUC
rnacentral:rRNA from 1 species